AUUGAACGCUGGCGGCAUGCUUUACACAUGCAAGUCGAACGGUAACAGGCCGCAAGGUGCUGACGAGUGGCGAACGGGUGAGUAAUGCAUCGGAACGUGCCCAGUCGUGGGGGAUAACGCAGCGAAAGCUGCGCUAAUACCGCAUACGAUCUAUGGAUGAAAGCGGGGGACCGUAAGGCCUCGCGCGAUUGGAGCGGCAGAUGUCAGAUUAGGUAGUUGGUGGGGUAAAGGCUCACAAAGCCAACGAUCUGUAGCUGGUCUGAGCGGACGACCAGCCACACUGGGAUGGAGACACGGCACAGACUCCUACGGGAGGCAGCAGUGGGGAAUUUUGGACAAUGGGCGCAAGCCUGAUCCAGCAAUGCCGCGUGCAGGAAGAAGGCCUUCGGGUUGUAACUGCUUUUGUACGGAACGAAACGGUCCUGGUUAAUACCUGGGGCUAAUGACGGUACCGUAAGAAUAAGCACCGGCUAACUACGUGCCAGCCGCCGCCGUAACAC
rnacentral:rRNA from 1 species